rnacentral:rRNA from 1 species
UACGGAGGGUGCAAGCGUUAUCCGGAUUUACUGGGUUUAAAGGGUGCGUAGGUGGUUCGGUAAGUCAGUGGUGAAAUCUUCGAGCUUAACUCGGAAACUGCCAUUGAUACUAUCGAUCUUGAAUUAUCUGGAGGUAAGCGGAAUAUGUCAUGUAGCGGUGAAAUGCUUAGAUAUGACAUAGAACACCCAUUGCGAAGGCAGCUUACUACGGAUAUAUUGACACUGAGGCUCGAAAGCGUGGGGAUCAAACAGG